UACAGGGGGGGGCAAGCGUUGUUCGGAAUUACUGGGCGUAAAGGGCUCGUAGGCGGCCAACUAAGUCCGACGUGAAAUCCCCAAGCUUAACUUGGGAACUGCGUCGGAUACUGGAUGGCUUGAAUUCGGGAGAGGGAUGCAGAAUUCCAGGUGUAGCGGUGAAAUGCGCAGAUAUCAGGAGGAACACCAAUGGCGAAGGCAGCUCGCUGGAACGGUACUGACGCUGAGGCGCGAAAGCGUGGGGAGCGAACAGG
rnacentral:rRNA from 1 species